rnacentral:rRNA from 1 species
UACGAAGGGGGCUAGCGUUGCUCGGAAUCACUGGGCGUAAAGCGCAUGUAGGCGGACUCUUAAGUCGGUGGUGAAAUCCUGGAGCUCAACUCCAGAACUGCCUUCGAUACUGGGAGUCUCGAGUCCAGGAGAGGUGAGUGGAACUGCGAGUGUAGAGGUGAAAUUCGUAGAUAUUCGCAAGAACACCAGUGGCGAAGGCGGCUCACUGGCCCGGUACUGACGCUGAGGUGCGAAAGCGUGGGGAGCAAACAGG